rnacentral:rRNA from 1 species
UACAGAGGGUGCGAGCGUUAAUCGGAAUUACUGGGCGUAAAGCGCGCGUAGGCGGUCAUUUAAGUUCGGGGUGAAAGGUUCAGCGCUCAACGCGAACAGUGCCUUGAAUACUGGGUGACUUGAGUUCGGGAGAGGGCAGUGGAAUUCCUGGUGUAGCGGUGAAAUGCGUAGAGAUCGGGAGGAACAUCUGUGGCGAAGGCGACUGCCUGGACCAGCACUGACACUGAGGCACGAAAGCGUGGGGAGCAAACAGG